UUCAUAUUCCAUGAACAAACACGUCCGUCCCAAAUGGCUUGGCAGCAUGAGAAUGAAAGCACAGACUGUACGUCUGAAUCCAGACCCAUGCCAGCAGCUGGGAGUUACACCCAUUCAUAUGGCCUCUGGAGAUAAACUCAAUGGGGUUAAAUUAAUCUCAUUGGGCGACUGCAGCCUAAAGGGCUCAAGAUAAUUAUAGAUUGAUUCAAUGCUUCCUGCUUUCGACAAAAAUCCAAGCUUUUCAGCAAUUAUGCUGCUCCCGGAACCAAAAGAAGAAAGUCAUGACAACAUGAGGUUUGGUAAAUGAUGAGCUAUUCCUCUAAGUUCAUUGAUUCAGCAGCAGAGAGCAUCCCAUUUUAUCUCUUAGCUUGACACAAUCAGAGCGAUCGCCUCUAAGAUUGAAGAAUCCCUCAUAUAAAUAACAAUCUCUGUUUAUGUGGAGGAGGUGCUGUAUUGGGAAUACUAAGCAGU